AAGCCAGCUUGCUGGUGGAUUAGUGGCGAACGGGUGAGUAACACGUGAGUAACCUGCCCUUAACUCUGGGAUAAGCCUGGGAAACUGGGUCUAAUACCGGAUAUGACUCCUCAUCGCAUGGUGGGGGGUGGAAAGCUUUAUUGUGGUUUUGGAUGGACUCGCGGCCUAUCAGCUUGUUGGUGAGGUAAUGGCUCACCAAGGCGACGACGGGUAGCCGGCCUGAGAGGGUGACCGGCCACACUGGGACUGAGACACGGCCCAGACUCCUACGGGAGGCAGCAGUGGGGAAUAUUGCACAAUGGGCGCAAGCCUGAUGCAGCGACGCCGCGUGAGGGAUGACGGCCUUCGGG
rnacentral:rRNA from 1 species